AUACGGAGGAUCCGAGCGUUAUCCGGAUUUAUUGGGUUUAAAGGGUGCGCAGGCGGCCAUUUAAGUCAGCUGUGAAAGUUUGGGGCUCAACCUUAAAAUUGCAGUUGAUACUGGUUUCCUUGAGUACGGUACAGGUGGGCGGAAUUCGUGGUGUAGCGGUGAAAUGCUUAGAUAUCACGAAGAACUCCGAUCGCGAAGGCAGCUCACCGGGCCGGAACUGACACUGAUGCUCGAAAGUGCGGGUAUCAAACAGGAUUAGAUACCCUGGUAGUCCGCACAGUAAACGAUGAAUACUCGCUGUUUGCGAUACACUGUAAGCGGCCAAGCGAAAGCGUUAAGUAUUCCACCUGGGGAGUACGCCGGCAACGGUGAAACUCAAAUGAAUUGACGGGG
rnacentral:rRNA from 1 species